CAAUUGAAGGUAAUCGAGCCGGGUAACCGGUUAGGAAAGUCCAUGCUAGCACAGUCUGCGAUGACUGUAGUGUUUGUGCCUAAGGAAAGAAUAACUUAGGAUACACGAAAGUGUAAUGGCGGGUAGGGUCACUAAAGGUAACUAUGUGAUUCCCCAUAACGUGCCACAGAAACGAGUCAAUUGGAAACGAUUGAAUGAAACGCGGUAAACCCCACAAGCUAGUAACCCAAAUUUUGGUAGGGGCACCUGAAACACAUAAAUGAAUGUAGUUUCGGGCUAUCACUAGAGAUAAAUGAUUACACUCGAAAGAGAACAGAACAUGGCUUAUGCAA
rnacentral:RNase_P_RNA from 1 species